rnacentral:rRNA from 2 species
GCAAGGUUAAAACUCAAAUGAAUUGACGGGGGCCCGCACAAGCGGUGGAGCAUGUGGUUUAAUUCGAUGCAACGCGAAGAACCUUACCUACUCUUGACAUCCAGAGAACUUUCCAGAGAUGGAUUGGUGCCUUCGGGAACUCUGAGACAGGUGCUGCAUGGCUGUCGUCAGCUCGUGUUGUGAAAUGUUGGGUUAAGUCCCGCAACGAGCGCAACCCUUAUCCUUUGUUGCCAG